AAUCAUUAUAAUUUCAAUCCGCGACAGUAUCAGUUGGAAUUAGUUGGAAUUGGUCGGAAUCUUGCCAAAAUGCGUGUUUUAGGACCAAACUAUAAUACCAAUCCCGCAGUUUCAUAUUAAUCUGACACUGCAAUCGAACAACGAAAAAUUCGUUGGCUCGAGCGGGAUUUGAACUCGCAUCUUCGGGUAUCUAGACCGCCGCUCUACCCAUUGAGCUAUCGAGUCAACAGGGAUUGGUAGCGAGUCUUAUCCAAUUUAAGUGCACGAAAUAUUUUCGUGACUAGUUUUUCCUAUCUCUGAGGAUGGUUCUGAAAUCCCGCAGUUAUUAUACUAAUUGAGAUUGGGAUCUUACCAAAAUCACGCCAAAAUGCAGGGUUUUUUGUGCGUAGCCGCGGAUGCACAGCUAACCACUAUGUGAGAGACUGAAGCGCGAUCUUCCGUGGCUCUGUUUCUCUGUGGCUCUGUAGCCUUCGUGUCCGCGGUGUCCUGCUGCGCAGUUCCUUUUAUCCUUGGAAGUUGGAAUACGAACCGUCUAUAGACCACAGGCUACGUUCACUAACGCUCAUACUGUACAGAGAUGUGUAUAAAUUCUUAAUAAAGUUUUUAUUGUAAUGUGUUUUGUCAGGUCGAUAGUCAUUUCCAACGCAUAUAGAAUCGAAUAUGUCGUUGUUUUU